UGCGAGCCGGAGUGCAGCCCGCCCUGCACUAAUGGUGGCGUCUGCUUAGCUGUUAAUACCUGCGAGUGCCCAGCUGACUAUAGAGGACCACAGUGCCAGUACUCGGUAAGCGUAUGCGAUAUCCGCAAGCUCGCCUUCAACGGCGCGUACAAUUGCGCGGGCGACAGCGAGUCGUCCAGCUGCGCGCUGUCGUGCCCGCCCGGCGCCACGUACAGCUCGCCGCCCGCCGCGCUCUACACCUGCCGCUACGACACCGGCGUCUUCCAACCACAGCCUAUACCUAACUGCGUUUUCCCUGAAAUCGUAGUCAUCACACCAGGCAGUCACACAUACA